GGGGGAAUAUUGGGGCAAUGGGGGGAAACCCUGACCCAGCAACGCCGCGUGAAGGAAGAAGGCUUUCGGGUUGUAAACUUCUUUUACCAGGGACGAAGGACGUGACGGUACCUGGAGAAAAAGCCACGGCUAACUACGUGCCAGCAGCCGCGGUAAUACGUAGGUGGCAAGCGUUGUCCGGGUUCAUUGGGUUUAAAGGGUGCGUAGGCGGCUUUGCAAGUCAGCGGUGAAAGGCCCGGGCUCAACCCGGAAAGUGCCGUUGAUACUGUGAGGCUGGAAUGCGGAUGCUGUGGGAGGAAUGAGUGGUGUAGCGGUGAAAUGCAUAGAUAUCACUCAGAACACCGAUUGCGAAGGCAUCUCACAAAUCCGCAAUUGACGCUGAGGCACGAAAGCGUGGGGAUCGAACAGGAUUAGAUACCCUGGUAGU
rnacentral:rRNA from 1 species